rnacentral:rRNA from 1 species
AGAUUGAACGCUGGCGGCAUGCCUAACACAUGCAAGUCGAACGGGAGUAGCAAUACUCUAGUGGCGGACGGGUGAGGAAUACGUAGGAAUUUGCCCUUAAGUGGGGGAUAACCCGGGAAACCCGGAUUAAUACCGCAUGACCUCGAAAGAGCAAAGUGGGGGAUCGCAAGACCUCACGCUUUUGGAGAAGCCUACGUCGGAUUAGCUAGUUGGUGAGGUAAUGGCUCACCAAGGCGACGAUCCGUAACUGGUCUGAGAGGAUGAUCAGUCACACCGGAACUGAGACACGGUCCGGACUCCUACGGGAGGCAGCGAGGUAGGAAUAGU